rnacentral:rRNA from 1 species
GGGCCCGCACAAGCGGUGGAGUAUGUGGUUUAAUUCGAUGCAACGCGAAGAACCUUACCAGGGUUUGACAUCCUGCGAAUCUCUUGGAAACAGGAGAGUGCCUUCGGGAACGCAGUGACAGGUGGUGCAUGGCUGUCGUCAGCUCGUGUCGUGAGAUGUUGGGUUAAGUCCCGCAACGAGCGCAACCCACGUCUUUAGUUGCCAGCAUUUAGUUGGGCACUCUAGAGAGACUGCCGGUGAUAAACCGGAGGAAGGUGUGGAUGACGUCAAGUCAUCAUGCCCCUUACAUCCUGGGCUACACACGUACUACAAUGCUACGGACAAAGGGCUGCAAGUUCGCGAGGACAAGCAAAUCCCAUAAACCCCAUCUCAGUUCGGAUCGGAGUCUGCAACUCGACUCCGUGAAGUUGGAAUCGCUAGUAAUCG